UAUCUCGAAAAUAAAAGAUCUAUAUAAAUUAACUGGUUUUUGUAUCAAUAAAAUCAGAUAAAUCUAUAUAGGGGUGAAACAUUAAACGAUUUUAUUAAUAUCUAGUAACUUCAAAAAUAAAUUUAGUUUAGGGUGAUUAAUUUAUAUAUCUUAUAAAUUAUUUAUUCUUAUGUUCUAGGGGAUGAGCUCUAGAACUAAAAUAUAAAACAUAUAUAGUUUUGUUUUUUAAAUAGGCCUAGAAUUAGCCAUAAGAAAGUGUUAUAAGUUAAAAAUUUAAGUUAACGAUUUAUUUGUUUUUAGUUCUUCAUGGGGUUAUUUUUUAACAAUAAAAAAAAAGAAAAUAUGAUAAUAUUAGUAGAAUAAUAUAUAAGUUUUCCUGUAUUUUUCUUAAGAUUGUAUAUAAUAAAAGAACUCGGCAAAAACGAUUUCCGAAUGUUUAACAAAAACAUUUCCUCUUAGAAUGGGAGGUAAAGCCUGCUCACUGAAAAUUAAAGAGCCGCAGUAUUUUGACUGUGCUAAGGUAGCAUAAUCAUUAGUCUUUUAAUUGGAGACUGGUAUGAAUGGCUAAACGAGAAAUCUUCUUUUUUUAUUAUAAAUAUGGAAUUUAUUUUCUUAGUGAAAAAACUAAGAUAUUCCUGAAAGACGAGAAGACCCUAUAGAGUUUUAUACAGUAAGUCAUCAUAUUGCAUUAGAUUUGGGCCGGUAUGAUUUUAUUCUGUAAUUUGUUGGGGCGACAUUAAGAUAAAAAAAACUCUUUUUUAUAUAAACUUUGAUAAAUGAAUAAUUUGAUCCUUUAAAAAAGAUAAUAAGAUAAAAUUACCUUAGGGAUAACAGCGUAAUCUUUUUUGAGAGUUCUAAUCGACAAAAAGGUUUGCGACCU
rnacentral:rRNA from 1 species